rnacentral:rRNA from 1 species
UACGUAGGGUGCGAGCGUUGUCCGGAAUUAUUGGGCGUAAAGAGCUCGUAGGCGGUUUGUCGCGUCUAUCGUGAAAACCUGGGGCUUAACUCCGGGCUUGCGGUGGAUACGGGCAGACUUGAGUUCGGUAGGGGAGACUGGAAUUCCUGGUGUAGCGGUGAAAUGCGCAGAUAUCAGGAGGAACACCGGUGGCGAAGGCGGGUCUCUGGGCCGAUACUGACGCUGAGGAGCGAAAGCUGGGGGAGCGAACAGG